rnacentral:lncRNA from 1 species
GAAAUUCAGGGCUGAUUAUUUGAACAUAAAAAUAAUUUAAAACUUGCAGCAUUGACAAGAUAAAAAAAAAUCACAGGACUUGAGCAUUCAUUCUAGGCAAAGUUAAAAGAGAAAACGUUAAUAGUCGUCUUGAAAAUAUAUGCAAUAUUUUGCAUACUCAAACUUGAUCAAUAAAUCCAAGUGUACAACAGUUGCAAAUUUGUAACAGAAUCAUCAAUUCUUAAAAUUAGGUUAAAACUUGUUCAAAGUAUAACCAAAUAAUCAUAAGUAGCAAUGAGCUGUAAAUUAAAACAGAAACAAACAAGUAAACAAUAAUAAUAAUUAUUAUUAUUAUUAUUACUUGGAUGCUAAAUUAUAAUAUAAAUAUAAAAUGUCAAUACAAUGCCAUUCAUGAAUGAAUUGGAUUUGAUAGUAUCUGACACUUUAGACAAGCAUAGGAGGUGUUGAAAGAUGGUUAAGAACCUGAAUAAAUUUUUCAUUCUAUAAACAAUGUCAUCACAUACAAAAAAUACAAAUAAAAAUAAACUUUACUAAUAAAAAAAUGACAAUGUAGACUUCAGCAAUUUCAAAUACAUUUCAUGAAAUUCAUGGUAAUACUACUACCAUAAAUGGUAUGAAAGUUGAAAUAAUGCAUUACUAACCAUUUCUGUGUGGGUGUGCAAAUAUAUAUGUUAACACUCCCAAUAUUUUGAGUACGUGUGAAGUACUUGAAUUUGAUUACGGUUUAUUUGUGUCUACAUAUAACACCAUGCCAAAAGGAUGGGAAACAGCACAUAAUUUAUGUGUUUUUAAAUGAAACACGAGGUAUUUUCGAUUCCACCACUCCAAAUUUUAAACAGAAAAUACAUUGAAGAAAUAACUUUAAACAGCCAGAAGGGAGGAAAUGUUAAACACAAGCCAAAUCACAGAAUCUGCACCACAAAUAGAGAAAUAUACUUGGAAAACUCAUACAAAACAUAACACUAAAAAACCCCACAAAAAAAAAAAUUGUCAGGGGUGAUAUGAAUUAAUUUUGCAACUUGGAGGUGUUGGAUAACGUGACACAUCAAAUGGCAAGUUAAUGCCUACCUUCAAAUAUUAUCAGAAACCCUAAACGAACAUAACCCUUGCACUUUUGUGUUUUAAACAAAGCUUGUGUAGAGGACAAUGAAAGGCGGCGAUUUCCACUUCUCCACA